UUUUCAUCUUUGUUUUGAUUAAUGUUCUUGUAUUUUCAGAUCUACAAUUUCUUCUCUUCUGUAUAUUAGUUUUUGUUCCUUUUUUUCAUUUUCGUUUCGUUUUUUUUAUUAUUUUGGGUUUAGUAUUUUCAUUUUCGUUUCGUUUCUCUUAUCUUCUGUUUGAUUUCUGAAAAUGUGAGAUUAUGAGUAAAAAAAUGUCAAAAAAAUUUUUUUUUUUAUUUUUUUUUUGGUAGGAAGGGCUGCGCUUUUACCUAAAAAGCGCAGCCCUUCUAAGCUAGAAGGGCUGCACUUUUCUAGCGCAGCCCUACUUAAAAAAGUGAAGGGCUGCUGUCAAAAAGCGCAGCCCUACAGGCCUUUUUCAGCGCAACCCUUCUUCAUUUUUCCACUAGCGAGUUUUUAUUUUUUUUAGACUGCAUUUUGUUUCAGUAGGUAUUAAUUUAUUUUUCCGUUUGUUUGUUUGUGUUUUAAUUUGGUUAUUUUUCUGUUUCAGUUAGUGUAUGUUUCUUGUCAGUUAGUAUCUGUUUCUAUUUCAGUUAGUAUCUGUUUCUAUUUCAGUUAGUAUAUGUUUCUUGUCAGUUAGUAUUAGUUUAUGUUUCAGUUAGCGUAUGUUUCUUGUCAGGUAGUAUCUGUUUCUCUUUUAGUUAGUGUAUGUUUCUUGUCAGUUAGUAUUAGUUUAUGUUUCAGUUAGUGUAUGUUUCUUGUCAGUUAGUAUCUGUUUCUAUUUCAGUUAGUGUAUGUUUCUUGUCAGUUAGUAUUAGUUUAUGUUUCAGUUAGUAUAUCUGUCAUUUUUGUUUAAGUAUUUUUUUCAUAUUUUAAUGCAAUGCAGGGUGAUGGCUCUUAUUCUUCUCUUGAUUAGUCAUCAUACAAAUCGUACAUACCUAAGAAUCAUUCAAAGUCAGAAAUUCUUUCAACACCUGAAUUAUUGAAGGGGUGGGACUAUGACUAUAAUUCGGAGAAAUCUGAAAAAGUUUCGAGAGGUGGAGGAAAAAGGUGAUGAUUUUGAGGAUGAUGAUUUGGAUAAAAUCAUUGACAAGAUUGCAAAAUAUGGAGCUGAUUAUGGAGACCCAAAAAAGAAGAGGAUGUGAAGAAAGAUAUUGAAGACGUAGCUGGUGUUGGUUCUUCUUCUGCACCUGGUUUGCAGGCUAUCCCUGUCAAUAAUCAUGGCCUAAUCUUGUGUCGAAGCUUGCAACGAUAUAACAAGUACCUGAAUGAUCUUUCUCCUGAAAACGUGUUGCUGGUUGAUUAUCUCUUCUACAAUGAGUUUAACGACGUUUCAAGGCUCUCAUUGACAAAUUCUGAACCUACAAAGAUGAAGAAUUUGAUUCUGCAAGAUGAACUACAAAGUGAUGUCAUUGUGGACUUCGAGAAUCACGACAACAACUACUCGGUUCAGUUGUACAAGUUCGACCUUGUUAGCAUGCCUCGUCACGGUUGGUUGACUAGUGGAGUUAUUGAUGGAUGCGCAUAUAUGUUUAAUAGGCAAGAAGAGGAAUCACCUUCUGCAACGAGGAGAUUUUGGUUUAAUUUGAUACCUUUUGUAAGUGUUUCUAUCUAAUAUAGUUUUAUUUUUUCAGUAAGUUUUUCAAUUCUUUUUAUUUUUCACUUAUGUUGAUGGUGUACUACGUGGUUAGUGUUAUGGCUUAGUUUUAUUUGCUCUUAUUUUUAUUUCAGUUGGUCAUAUUCUAUUUUCAUUUUGUUUUAUACAUCUACUUUCAGUUGGUCAUAUUAUUUUUUCAGUUGGUCAUCUUCUGUUUUCAGUUUGUCAUAUUAUGUUUUCAUCUGUUUUCAGUUGGUUAUUUAGUAUCUGUUUUCUUUUGUUGCAGAACUGUAUGAAUUGGUUGUGUGAAGAGAAGGCAAAAAGGUUGAGUUUGAUAGUGAAAUUGCUGAAAAUGAGAUUAUUUUGAAGAAGUUGGAGGGCACUAGUGAAUAUGAUGAGAAAUUGAAAGAAUGGGAAGAGAAGAAGAAAAAGUUGGUUACAAAAGAAGAUGAUUUAAUCUUCAAGAAAUGUAAUGACACUCUUUCUGCAUGGGUGAAAACAUUUCCAAGGAACGAUAUUCGACAAGCUGAUCUGAUUUUUGUUCCUGUUCACAAGGAUGAUCAUUAUACUGUUUUGGUGCUCAACAAGAAAGCUAAAAGGAUUGAAAACAUUGACAAUCGUAUAGACAUGAAGGAUAUUGAGAGAUAUAUAUAUAUUUAUGAGGGAUUUAACAGUCUUACAUACUUUGUACGUACCCUUUUGUGAUGGGAUUGUUUUUUAUUUCAUUUUGUUACUUGUUUUUUUAAUGGUUCUUUACUUUUUCAUCUUCAAAUGCAGUGUCGUGUUUUUGAUGCUUUUAUGCAAGGUGGUAAUAUGAGAUGUCGUGAUUUUGAUCAUCUCCAACAUUGGGAGAAAGUGACUCUUUUUUUCCCUUGGAGAAACAAGGAAAACAAUCAUGAUUGUGGUGUGUAUGCAAUCAAGUGUAUGGAGCUGUACGAUGGUGAAAAUGCGAACGAGUUUCCACUUGUUGACCUGAAAAGGGCAGCCAACAAAAACUUUCAGCGGUGCAAGCUUGCACUUCGUCUAGUGGAACAUCCUUUAAACAAAUUAAAAGACAAAGUGAAGCGUGAUUGUUAUGUUUGGUUAGCAAAGAAGCUUGAACUUAUUGCAAGACAAAAGUUAAGGAAGGAAAAAGAGGAUCUUCUUAAUAGAUUAGCAAUUAAUCGAUCAAAGAGGACGAAUAGAGAAGAUCCAUUAAUUUUAGAGUGAAGGAGGAAGCACGAGGAGGAAGUCGAAGCAGUGUUGAAUGAUCACUAUGAAGACAAAGACAAAUUAAACAAACUGUUGAAUUUUCGUUAUUCUUAGUUGCCAAACUGUCUUUUUUUUUUUGUAAUGUACAGUAGAAAUAACACACAACUCAAUUUUGUAAUGUACAGUAGAAAUAGCACACAACUCAAUUGAUAUUUUUAAUGUUUAGAAUUGUACAUUUACACUUACUAUGAGUGGAAUACAUUCGUGUAAAUGAAAUUGUUUGAGA